GACGAACGCUGGCGGCGUGCUUAACACAUGCAAGUCGAACGAAGUGGCGAACGGGUGAGUAACGCGUAAUCAACCUGCCCUUCAGAGGGGAAAAACAGUUGGAAACGACUGCUAAUACCGCAUACUGAAGGAGGGGAUUGCGUCUGGUUGGCUAGUUUGAGGGGUAACGGCCCACCAAGGCGAUGAUCAGUUGCCGGGCUGAGAGGAUGAACCGCCACAUUGGGACUGAGGCACUGCCCCGACUCCUACGGGAGGCAGGAGGGGGGAAUCUUCCGAAAUGGACGACAGUCCGGCGGAGCAACGGCGCGUGAGUUAUGACGGCCGUCGGGUUUGAAAGCUCUGUUAAUCGGGACGCGGUACCGGAAUAGAAAGCCACGGCUAACUACGUGCCAGCAGCCGCGGUAAUAC
rnacentral:rRNA from 1 species